CUCAGCAGCAAUUCAAGGAUCUUCUUGCUCACAUUCUCUGUUCAUUGGCCCCACUUCCUCUGUGGGACUCAGGUCUCUGGUCUUUCUGCUCUCCAGGCUCCCAGCUUCAAACAUCAGAAGAAACUGCACACUGCAAAAUGGUUACUCAUGGAAGAGCAAAAAUGCUUCUUUUGAGGCCCAGGAAGAAAUUAACAAGUCUCCAGAAAGACAGACUCAGGGAACUCAACAGCAUCUGUCCACACUCUGCUGUUAUUGAAUCAGUUCAAAGGAUUUUUUUCAGGCAUUGCAUUUCUUUUCCAAGUUUCAAAGUCUCAGGUACAGAUACAUUUGCUUGCAAAAACAGGAAGUACACCCAAAAAGGGCUGCCCUUGAGCUGGAUGGAACGAGACCUUCAUACCCUGAGAGCAAGCUGCAUCUUAUACUAUGUUAUCAUAUUAUUCAUUUAUUUUUGUAGAAUUAGAGCUUAAUAAAAUCUUAUUUAAUGUC